AACGAACGCUGGCGGCAUGCCUAACACAUGCAAGUCGAACGAGACCUUCGGGUCUAGUGGCGCACGGGUGCGUAACGCGUGGGAACCUGCCCUUAGGUUCGGAAUAACUCCCCGAAAGGGGUGCUAAUACCGGAUAAUGUCUUCGGACCAAAGAUUUAUCGCCUUUGGAUGGGCCCGCGUUGGAUUAGCUAGUUGGUAGGGUAAAAGCCUACCAAGGCGACGAUCCAUAGCUGGUCUGAGAGGAUGAUCAGCCACACUGGGACUGAGACACGGCCCAGACUCCUACGGGGGGAGGGGGUGGGGAAUAUUGGACAAGGGGCGAAAGCCUGACCCAGCAAGGCCGGGUGGGGGAUGAAGGCCUUAGGGUUGUAAAGCUCUUUUACCCGGGAUGAAAAGGACAGUACCGGGAAAAAAAGCCCCGGCUAACCCCGG
rnacentral:rRNA from 1 species